rnacentral:piRNA from 1 species
UCAUUGGUAAGGUGCUUGCCUAGCGUG